CUGCUCACAGAUGGGCUGCGGAAGAUCUACAGGGCUAGGAGGCGGGAGAGGCGAGCGGUACUUUAUGGGUAGGGGUAAAAUCCUUUGAUCCAUAGAAGACCACCAGUGGCGAAGGCGGCUUGCCGGAACGCGCUCGACGGUGAGGGAUGAAAGCUGGGGGAGCAAACCGGAUUAGAUACCCGGGUAGUCCCAGCUGUAAACGAUGCACACUCGGUGAUGAAUUGGCUUAUUGCUAAUUCAGUGCCGCAAGGAAGCCGUGAAGUUUGCCGCCUGGGGAGUACGGUCGCAAGACUGAGACUUAAAGGAAUUGGCGGGGGAGCACCACCAGGGGUGAAGCCUGCGGUUCAAUUGGAGUCAACACCGGAAAUCUUACCGGGGGCGACAGCAGAGUGAAGGUCAGGCUGAAGACUUUACCCGACCAGCUGAGAGGAGGUGCAUGGCCGUCGCCGGCUCGUGCCGUGAGGUGUCCUGUUAAGUCAGGUAACGAGCGAGAUCCCUGCCUCUAGUUGCUACCAUUAUUCUCAUGAGUAGUGGAGCUAAUUAGAGGGACCGCCGUCGCUGAGACGGAGGAAGGUGGGGGCUACUGCAAGUCAGUGUGCCCCGAAACCCUCGGGCCACACGCGGUGCUGCAAUGUGAAGGACCAUGAGUUUCGAUUCCGACCGGAGGAAGCGAUCUCUAAACCUUACCACAGUUAUGAUUGAGGGCUGAUACUCGCCCUCAUGUAUAUGGAAUCACUAGCAACCGCGUGUCACUAUCGCGCGGCUGAUACGUCACUGCUCCUUGCAC
rnacentral:rRNA from 1 species